UACAUGGGGUGCAAACGUUGCUCGGAAUUAUUGGGCGUAAAGGGCGCGUAGGCGGCCCGGUAAGUCAAAGGUGAAAUCCCUCGGCUCAACUGAGGAACUGCCUUUGAAACUGUCGGGCUUGAGGCCGGGAGGGGGUAGCGGAAUUCCCAGUGUAGCGGUGAAAAUGCGUAGAUACUGGGAGGAACACCAGUGGCGAAGGCGACUACCUGGCCUGUUUCUUGACGCUGAGGCGCGAAAGCUAGGGGAGCAAAGCGGG
rnacentral:rRNA from 1 species